GAACGCACCUUGCACCCUUUGGCCAUUCCGAAGGGUAUGCCUGUUUGAGUAUCAUGAACACCUCAACUCUCAUGGCUUGCCAUGAUGAGCUUGGACUUUGGGGGUCUUGCUGGCCUGCAGUCAGCUCCUCUCAAAUGAAUUAGCUUCCCAGUGUUUGGUGGCAUCACAGGUGUGAUAACUAUCUACGCUUGUGGUUCCCACCAGGUAACCUUCAGUAGAAUGGGGGUUCGCUGGAGCUCAUAAACGUCUCUCCUCAGCGAGGACAGCUCUUUGAACAUUUGAUCUCAAAUCAGGUAGGACUACCCGCUGAACUUAAG
rnacentral:misc_RNA from 1 species